rnacentral:rRNA from 1 species
GUACACUCCUGCGGGAGGCAGCAGUGGGGAAUAUUGGACAAUGGGCGCAAGCCUGAUCCAGCCAUGCCGCGUGAGUGAUGAAGGCCCUAGGGUUGUAAAGCUCUUUCACCGGUGAAGAUAAUGACGGUAACCGGAGAAGAAGCCCCGGCUAACUUCGUGCCAGCAGCCGCGGUAAUACGAAGGGGGCUAGCGUUGUUCGGAUUUACUGGGCGUAAAGCGCACGUAGGCGGACUAUUAAGUCAGGGGUGAAAUCCCGGGGCUCAACCCCGGAACUGCCUUUGAUACUGGUAGUCUUGAGUUCGAGAGAGGUGAGUGGAAUUCCGAGUGUAGAGGUGAAAUUCGUAGAUAUUCGGAGGAACACCAGUGGCGAAGGCGGCUCACUGGCUCGAUACUGACGCUGAGGUGCGAAAGCGUGGGGAGCAAACAGGAUUAGAAACCCGUGUAGUCCC